rnacentral:miRNA from 1 species
AACAAGUUUGAAACAAGCUGUUAACAACUUAUAACAAACUUGAUGGCAUUAUCAGCCUUGUUACAAGACUGUGCUAACAAGUUUGUUACAGCCAUGAUAUAACAAAGAUGUUACAAAGUUGUCAACACAAGGUUGUAACAAUCGUGUUAUAUCAAGCAUGUCACAGACUUGUCAGAACAACCUUGCAACAAGUCUGAUAAUUUCGACAAAGUUGUUACAAGUUGUCAACAAGUUGUUCCAAACCUGUU